UGGCCCGCGGUGCAUUAGCUAGUUGGUAAGGUAAAGGCGUUACCAAGGCGGAUGAUGCAUAGCCGAGUUGUAGAGACUGAUCGGCCACAUUGGGACUGAGACACGGCCCAAACUCCUACGGGAGGGCAGCAGUAGGGAAUCUUCCACAAUGGACGCAAGUCUGAUGGAGCAACGCCGCGUGAGUGAAGAAGGUUUUCGGAUCGUAAAGCUCUGUUGUUGGUGAAGAAGGAUAGAGGUAGUAACUGGCCUUUAUUUGACGGUAAUCAACCAGAAAGUCACGGCUAACUACGUGCCAGCAGCCGCGGUAAAAU
rnacentral:rRNA from 1 species